CAGUUCGGAUUGAAGGCUGAAAUUCGCCUUCAUGAAGCUGGAAUUGCUGUAAUGGCAGGUCAGCAUACUGCCGUGAAUACGUUCCCGGGCCUUGUACACACCGCCCGUCACACCAUGAGAGUUGGGAAUACCCGAAGCCUGUGAGCUAACUGUAAGGAGGCAGCAGUCGAAGGUAGAAUCAAUGAUUGGGGUGAAGUCGUAACAAGGUACC
rnacentral:rRNA from 1 species